AGCAGACCAAGGCCGCGAGGCUCGCCCCGCACAAACCAGCUUCCCAGCAGCUGCUUUCCCUCGCGAGCGGGCCAAGGUCUGAGCAUGCCAAUCUAAUUCCCCUAGAUCGAUCCCAGCUGGGUCCGACCGUAACAAGUCGAGCAACGUACCAGAAACGCACACGCCACUCUCCGUCGUGGAGCGCCACGCACCCGGAGAAACUCGCCGAGUAGCGAGAUGGAGGGUGUUGGUGAGUCGUAUAUCCGUGUUUGAGACGCGUUGCGGGAAUCGGGUGCCACCCUCUAGCGAUCUCUCGACCCUCGCCCGGGUCCGUCCUCUAUCGCGCCCACCUGUGCUCUGGAGUAGCUGCCGGAGCGCCUGGGGGUGUUCUUCCAGUAUCGCCGUGCAUUCGGAGACCGAUAAGGCUGUCGUUUGUGCUAGAUGUUUAGUGGUUCAUCCUCAAAUGUCACACUGGUCCUGUUUCCAGGAUAGGUGUAAAGCGGCGCGGACGACUGUGGCGGACGAGGAGGUGGACCAUGUGGUGCAGGGCGGAGUGACGGGCCGCCCUUUAGUACACUUCGCGGCUCGUGGUGUCUUCUUGAUGCCACCCCCCUAUUGGGCUGGGGUGGGCUCGGUACCAUGAAACUCGAUUCAGACUACUCUGGUCUGCU
rnacentral:RNase_P_RNA from 2 species